UCUGAAUGUUGUUCAGUUGGUUAGAGCGCUGCACCGGAAUCGCAGGGCCGUAGGUUCAAUUCCUACCAGAG
rnacentral:tRNA from 1 species